GUGCUUGCUUCGAUAGCACAUAUACUAUUGAUAAAAUUGGAACAAUACAGAUUAGCUUGGCCCCUGCACAAGGAUGACGUGCAAAUCAUGAAGUUUUGUGAUGUAAUU
rnacentral:snRNA from 1 species